UACAGAGGUCUCAAGCGUUGUUCGGAUUCAUUGGGCGUAAAGGGGUGCGUAGGUGGCGGGGGUAAGUCAGGUGUGAAAUCUCGGAGCUCAACUCCGAAACUGCACUUGAUACUGCCUUGCUUGAGUACUGGAGAGGAGAUUGGAAUUUACGGUGUAGCAGUGAAAUGCGUAGAUAUCGUAAGGAAGACCAGUGGCGAAGGCGAAUCUCUGGACAGUUACUGACACUGAGGCACGAAGGCCAGGGGAGCAAACGGG
rnacentral:rRNA from 1 species